rnacentral:rRNA from 1 species
UACGUAGGGGGCCAGCGUUGCUCGGAAUUACUGGGCGUAAAGGGUCCGUAGGCGGUGCGGUAAGUCGGAAGUGAAAUCUCAGGGCUUAACCCUGGGGCUGCUCCCGAAACUGCCGUGCUAGAGUGCGAGAGAGGCGAGUGGAAUUGCGGGUGUAGCGGUGAAAUGCGUAGAUAUCCGCAGGAACAUCCGAGGCGAAGGCGGCUCGCUGGAUCGCAACUGACGCUGAGGGACGAAAGCUAGGGGAGCAAACAGG